GCGAGGGUGGCGGAACUGGCAGACGCGCCAGACUUAGGAUCUGGUGCCGUAAAAGGCAUGGGGGUUCAAAUCCCCCCCUUCGCACCA
rnacentral:tRNA from 2 species